rnacentral:rRNA from 1 species
UCAGUAACACGUAGUCAACAUGCCCAGGGGACGUGGAUAACCUCGGGAAACUGAGGAUAAACCGCGAUAAGUCACUACUUCUGGAAUGGGUAAUGACUCAAACCUAUAUGGCCCCUGGAUUGGACUGCGGCCGAUCAGGCUGUUGGUGAGGUAAUGGCCCACCAAACCUGUAACCGGUACGGGCUCUGAGAGGAGGAGCCCGGAGAUGGGCACUGAGACAAGGGCCCAGGCCCUAUGGGGCGCAGCAGGCGCGAAACCUCUGCAAUAGGCGAAAGCUUGACAGGGUUACUCUGAGUGAUUUCCGUUAAGGAGAUCUUUUGGCACCUCUAAAAAUGGUGCAGAAUAAGGGGUGGGCAAGUCUGGUGCCAGC